rnacentral:rRNA from 1 species
AGGCUUAACACAUGCAAGUCGAGCGGAAACGAUGGGUGAGCUUGCUACCAGGCGUACGAGCGGCGGACGGGUGAGUAAUACUUAGGAAUCUACCUAGUAGUGGGGGAUAGCACGGGGAAACUCGUAUUAAUACCGCAUACGCACCUACGGGGAGAAAGCGGGGCGAAUUUACUGACUCUCGNCUCAUAUAGGAUGUAGUCCUACAAGUUGCUGGAAUUAAUGCCCUACGAAAUGGGGUGGGGGGGGUAGAUAGGGGCACCUCACCCCACUCGGGGCGGAAACGAAAUUAUUGUUAGUACUGGGUUGCUUGAAGAAGGGAUGAAUNAUGCCCACACCCUGGAACAGAGACACGGCGCCGCGACUCCUACAGGGGGCGCCACUGGGGAAUAUAUGGACACUGNGGGGAGACCCUCAUCCACGNCCCCACCCGCGUUGUUGUUUGAUAGGAAAGAGGCCGUCUUUUUGGGGGUUGGGUUUGAUAAAGCCCAGCCCUUCUUUAAAAGCUCCAGGUUGGGAAAAGGGAAAAGAGAAACCUCCCUUUCCCGGGGUUUAAAUUACUCCCCGUGAAGAACCGAUCGAACAUCGAUGCUGCACAAUAUACGCCGGCUAACUCUGUGCCAGCAGCCGCGGUAAUAUAGAGGGUGUGCGCGCGUGUCUGAGUCUCUCGGGCGUAUAGCGCGCGUAUGUGGCUUGAUAUGUCAGAUGUGAGANUCUCGCGGCUCAACCUGUGGAGCUGCAUCUGACACUGUGUGGCUCGAGAUUGUGAGAGGGAUGUAUAGUUUCUGGUGUGUCGCUGAAAUGCGUAUAGAUCUGAUGGAGACCCGAUAGCGACNGCGGCGUCCCUGUCAUCAUACUCGACACUGUGGCGCGCAAGCGUGAGUAGCAACAGGAUAUAUACCAUGUAGUCAACGCUACAUU